GCUGUUAUUGUUGCUGUUGUUGUUGGUGGUGGUGUUGUUGAUGUUGUAGUAAUUAAAGUAGUAGUUCUGCAAAAGUAGGAGUAGUUGUUACUUUGAAAGCAAUUUCUACAAGUUUAAAUUCCUUAACCCUGUCCAAGUGGUAUAUACACUGUUUUUUCUCAAUAUCAAACUCAGCCAGUCCAGGUUGUCAAAUAACAAUCUAUCUGAUAAGACCAGCGCGUGUGCUGUGAGUCAGAUGUUGGGUAUGUUUGCUGCAAAUCUAUUGGUUAUAAGAUAUAACAGCCUUUUCUAAUUGGCUGAAUUCAAAUACAGAAAGUUUACCUGUUAGAUUGAAACAUUAAACAUGGUGGACAAUGUACUGGUUUAACUUGUUAAAAUAAAGUUAAAGAAAUUUAACAAACAGAAGAGUUCAUUAGUUUUUCCAUUAAAAACACUUUCUUCAAAUACUUAUGUAUUUAUAUCAUUUGGAAAUUGACAUGAAAUAUUGUUAAAGAGUGAUGCAUACAGUGUUUGAGCAGGCUGUCUAGGAAUAGAACAACAACUGAAGUUGAUGGAAGAUACUGCAGAGUUUGGCAGGGAAAUAAUCCAACAGCAAAGCGGCUCUUUAAGCGCAUUUACCUAGAGGACUUACAGGGCUACAAAUUCAUGAGCACAUGUGAGCAGUAUACAAUGUACCUCAUACCAAAAAGGACCCGGAGGCAGUGACUGGUGUUCAAUAUUCUCAGAAGAAAAGGAAAAUGGCAGUGGAAGACUUGGACAAACAUUUUUAGCCUCUGUGUUAAGCCUGGCAGUCUGUGGCUGGUGACAUGUUUUAUUUUGGUUACUUCUUGUAAAAAAAAGACCAGUUAUUUAUUUUGUGAAUUGUAUUUUGUGUUUGUUUUUUGUCUUAAUUUAUUUGUUGUUUUUUUUAAUUUAGGAAUUUGAAACUUGGAUAAUUGAAUUAAGUCCGUGUUCAACAGUACUGAGCAUAGUAUAAUAAAUAACAAAUUUACAACAGUUGUUAAUUUGUUAUGUAUUAUUAUUAACUAUGCUCAGUACUUGAAUACUGGCUGUCUGCAUGGGAAUUUGUUUUCUAGAAAGUUGGUUUCAGACGUAAAUAUUUGAAGUUAACCUUCGGAACUUUUCUAGAAUUUUACUGGAACACAUCAACUAGAACUGAACUUCUGUUAUCUUACUGAAAGUGUUCUAGAAUUAAUAAGGAACAGUUGUUGAACGUUAAAAUUUAUGAGAAAAAACUCUAGAACAAUUGUGUGUGAUGUGUGUGUGCAUGUAAUUGUGUGUGUUUAUGAACAUAUGUGAAAAAGGAAGUAUACUUGUCAUAAGAUAAAUGUAAAAUUCUACUUCUAUGUUUUAUAUUGUGCCUUUUAUAAGUUUUUCUGUUCUCACCUGUAUAUGCGUGCAUGUUUAUGGAUGUGUUUUUGAAUGUGUGCAUGCAUGCCUGUGGUUAAGAGAGUUGGUACUUUAUGAAAAUGUAAAACCACUCAUUUUUGAAUAUGUACUGUGACUGCAUGUGUGUGGUAAAUGAUUGAUGCCAGAUCUUGUUCUUGCUUAACUUCUAUGAUGAAACCUUUAGUUACAUUCACAUUUGUUUUUCAAAAUCAAUAAAAUGCCUUUGAUCUAUAAUCUGUUUUUAUUUCUAUUUUAUUCCAGCUUUAUAUUAAAUUCCAUAGCUUUUCAUGGAAUUCCACGGCAUUCUAUGGAAUUCCACGGCAUUCCAUGGAAUUCCACAGCGUUCCAUGGAAUUCCACGGCGUUCCAUGGAAUUCCACGGCAUUCUAUGGAAUUCCACGGCAUUCUAUGGAAUUCCACGGCAUUCUAUGGAAUUCCACGGCAUUAUAUGGAAUGCCACGGAAUUCUAUGGAAUUCCACGGCAUUUUAUGGAAUUCCAUCCCAUAUCAAGUCCCCCUUCUGUUUUUUUUCACUUUUCCAUUGAUUGCAUGGAAUCGGAUGGAAAGUUAGUGCCAAUACUCCACGGAAUUCCAUCUUACGAUUUCCAUAGAAUUCCAUAUGAUUCCACGGCAGAUCUACAG